rnacentral:rRNA from 1 species
AACGAACGCUGGCGGCAUGCCUAACACAUGCAAGUCGAACGAGACCUUCGGGUCUAGUGGCGCACGGGUGCGUAACGCGUGGGAACCUGCCCUUAGGUUCGGAAUAACUCCCCGAAAGGGGUGCUAAUACCGGAUAAUGUCUUCGGACCAAAGAUUUAUCGCCUUUGGAUGGGCCCGCGUUGGAUUAGCUAGUUGGUAGGGUAAAAGCCUACCAAGGCGACGAUCCAUAGCUGGUCUGAGAGGAUGAUCAGCCACACUGGGACUGAGACACGGCCCAGACUCCUACGGGAGGCAGCAGAGGGGAAUAUAGGACAAUGGGCGGAAGCCUGAUGCAGCAAUGCCGCGUGAGUGAUGAAGGCCUUAGGGUUGUAAAGCUCUUUUACCCGGGAUGAUAAUGACGGUACCGAGAGAAUAAGCUCCGGCUAACUCCGUG